rnacentral:tRNA from 1 species
GGGCCCAUGGUCUAGUCGGUUAUGACGUCGCCCUCACACGGCGGAGGUCCGGGGUUCGAGUCCCCGUGGGCCCA